rnacentral:misc_RNA from 1 species
AACAUCGCGCACCUGCGGGAACCUGCGGAAGGAUCAUUAAUGAUUGGUGGCUGUUGCUGACUAGUGUUUCUAGUAUGUGCACGCCACACCUUCAAUCCCACUUACACCUGUGCACCUUCUGUAAUAGAUCUAUGUGGAUACGGAGAUAUGAAAGUUUGCGCUCUCGUACUCCGUUGAAGCAGUCUACUACGUUUUUUUACACACACACAAUAGUCAUUGAAUGUAUUUUUUAUUCUUAUG